UACGGGGGGGGCAAGCGUUGUUCGGAAUUACUGGGCGUAAAGGGCGCGUAGGCGGCCUUCUAAGUCAGACGUGAAAUCCCCCGGCUUAACCUGGGAACUGCGUCUGAUACUGGAGGGCUUGAGUGCGGGAGAGGGAUGUGGAAUUCCAGGUGUAGCGGUGAAAUGCGUAGAUAUCUGGAGGAACACCGGUGGUGAAGGCGGCAUCCUGGACCGACACUGACGCUGAGGCGCGAAAGCUAGGGUAGCAAACGGG
rnacentral:rRNA from 1 species